rnacentral:rRNA from 1 species
GACGAACGCUGGCGGCGUGCCUAAUACAUGCAAGUCGAACGGAAAGGCCCUGCUCUUGCGGGGUGCUCGAGUGGCGAACGGGUGAGUAACACGCGAGUAACCCGCCCUUGACUUUGGGAUAACUCCAGGAAACUGGGGCUAAUACCGGAUAGGAGCUCCUGCUGCAUGGUGGGGGUUGGAAAGUUUCGGCGGUUGGGGAUGGACUCGCGGCUUAUCAGCUUGUUGGUGGGGUAGUGGCUUACCAAGGCUUAGACGGAUAGCCGGCCUGAGAGGGUGGCCGGCGACAUUACGACUGAGGGACGGCGCAGUCUGCAACGGGAGGCAGCGGUGGAGAGUAUUACGCAGUAAGGGGGAGCCUGAUGCGGCAGCGCCGCGUGCGGGAUAACGGCCUUCGAGUUAUGAACCGCUUUCGCCGGUAACGAGGCGUGAGUGACGGUAAUGGGUAAGAAAGCACCGGCUAACUACGUG